UUUAGGCUGUUUUAUUAUUCUCCUAAUGAACGGCAAUCCUGAUCCUUCACCAGAGGAUCUGCUGCUAUUCUGCAGGCUAAAAGCGCUCCGGACCGCCUCACCAUGGGCACAGUGUCUGCACCGUAAGGCGACCCCAGUCUCUCCCUUCCCGUGGCUCAUCAGAAAAAAAAAAUAGUUUUCAAAUGGAGCAGUAACCUUUCUUCCUAGUAUCCUUCUCAGACAGAGGCAAGUAAGAAUGAGGAGGCCUGUGAGUUCUACAUAUCGGUAUCCCUGGACCUACAUCUAAGCCAACCCCUGUCCUGAGGGACCUGGGCAUGGAUCUCAAGCUUGUCAGAGAAUCACACCAGGCUCUCUCCUACCUGACAUCCUGGUUCUUCUAGACACCAUCUUGCACUGGUAGGACAUAGCUGGAUGUCAUGGAGCAGGCCUUCAAAGAAACUGGGAUGACUGAAGUAUGGAAAAAAUCACAAAUUCAUCAUGAAGGUGGGAGAUUACUGAAAAUAACAGUCUGAGAAGGGUCUGAGAAGGAUUUAAAAGUGGUAGAUGCAAAGGAUAAAGGAUAUUGCUAAAGAAAUCAGUCACAUUCUACACUUGGAGUGUCCAGGAUGACUCUUGUGUGUCUGGCUUAGGUGACAGAAGGACAGAAGCCUUAUUAGCGAGGGUAAGUUAGUAACACAAGUAAUGGGGAAGAUUUUGGCAUGGAGCCUGAUGAAUGUAAACCAACCUUAAAGAGGUGCUGGGGGACAAAGACACAAGAAUGAAGAUUCUGGAGAGGUCCGGGAUGGGGAAAGAUAGCUCAGAGUUCCUGCAGUGUACAGAUGAAGGUCCCCUGCAGGAUAAGUUAAAAGGGAAAAAUAGGGCUGAAUUAAGGUCUGAGCUAUAAGGGCUCCAGCAGAGAGAGGCUCUCAGGAAAUGAAUGAACCUGUGGUAUCUGCAAGGUUUCAAGGAGAGGAAUCUUGGGACAUGGGAAACAGCCAGUGGAGAGUGAAAGCCAGAUAGACAUGCUCCAAGGGCAAGUCUAAGGCUCUUCAGAGGUUAAUAUGGCUUAUCCAAGGAGUUUAGGGAUAUGGGGAGUUGUGAAGGUAAUUGAAGAGACUUACUCAAAAGUAACUUUUAAAUAUGUACAAUGACUUGCUUGGUAUGCAGAGAGAAACUCAUCCCUAGUGUAAACCUAAUGAAAUCAGUAGCUUUGGCUUUAGCUUAGUCUGUUAAUUCCACAUGGUGAAGGCAGAAUGAGGGGAAGUGGCCCUUCUUCCCGCCUCCUUAGAAGAAAGUGCCCAGCACUGGGAAGGUGCUUGUGAGAGGCUGCAGCUGUGCCUGCACUGGGCCUGUGCAGUCUCACGUGAGCCUUUGUCCUAUAUGAUGCCAGAGCAGGGCUUGUGCCCUGUCACUGCACGUGUACCUGUUCAGAGAUGGGACCCUGUGCGGUAGCCUGCCUUCGUCUUGCAGCCAUCCCCAAGGAACAAACUGGGUCUGGAUUUGAUUUCUUAGAAUAGAAUCAUAGAAUCGAUUGGGUUGGAAAAGACCUCCGAGAUCAUCGAGUCCAACCCUUGGUCC